rnacentral:rRNA from 1 species
GCGAACGGGGAGGAGCCCAGAGCCUGAAUCAGUGUGUGUGUUAGUGGAAGCGUCUGGAAAGGCGCGCGAUACAGGGUGACAGCCCCGUACACAAAAAUGCACAUGCUGUGAGCUCGAUGAGUAGGGCGGGACACGUGGUAUCCUGUCUGAAUAUGGGGGGACCAUCCUCCAAGGCUAAAUACUCCUGACUGACCGAUAGUGAACCAGUACCGUGAGGGAAAGGCGAAAAGAACCCCGGCGAGGGGAGUGAAAAAGAACCUGAAACCGUGUACGUACAAGCAGUGGGAGCACGCUUAGGCGUGUGACUGCGUACCUUUUGUAUAAUGGGUCAGCGACUUAUAUUCUGUAGCAAGGUUAACCGAAUAGGGGAGCCGAAGGGAAACCGAGUCUUAACUGGGCGUUAAGUUGCAGGGUAUAGACCCGAAACCCGGUGAUCUAGCCAUGGGCAGGUUGAAGGUUGGGUAACACUAACUGGAGGACCGAACCGACUAAUGUUGAAAAAUUAGCGGAUGACUUGUGGCUGGGGGUGAAAGGCCAAUCAAACCGGGAGAUAGCUGGUUCUCCCCGAAAGCUAUUUAGGUAGCGCCUCGUGAAUUCAUCUCCGGGGGUAGAGCACUGUUUCGGCAAGGGGGUCAUCCCGACUUACCAACCCGAUGCAAACUGCGAAUACCGGAGAAUGUUAUCACGGGAGACACACGGCGGGUGCUAACGUCCGUCGUGAAGAGGGAAACAACCCAGACCGCCAGCUAAGGUCCCAAAGUCAUGGUUAAGUGGGAAACGAUGUGGGAAGGCCCAGACAGCCAGGAUGUUGGCUUAGAAGCAGCCAUCAUUUAAAGAAAGCGUAAUAGCUCACUGGUCGAGUCGGCCUGCGCGGAAGAUGUAACGGGGCUAAACCAUGCACCGAAGCUGCGGCAGCGACGCUGAUGCGUUGUUGGGUAGGGGAGCGUUCUGUAAGCCUGCGAAGGUGUGCUGUGAGGCAUGCUGGAGGUAUCAGAAGUGCGAAUGCUGACAUAAGUAACGAUAAAGC